CGCACCUUGCGCUCCUUGGUAUUCCUCGGAGCAUGCCUGUUUGAGUAUCAUGAAAUUCUCAAAGCAAGUCUUUUGUUAAUUCAAUCGGCUUUGCUUUGGACUUGGAGGUCCUUGCAGAUUGAAUUUUUUUCUACCUCGAAGAAAUUCUUUCGGCUCCUCUUAAAUAAAUUAGCUGGAUCUCAGUAUAUGCUCGGUUCCACUCGGCGUGAUAAGUAUCACUCGCUGAGGACACUGUAAAAAGUAGGCCGAGAAAUAGCGGAUGAACCGCUCCUAACAGUCCAUUCACUUGGACAAUCACUUUUUAAGUUUACUGAUCUCAAAUACAGGUAGGGACUACCCGCCUGAACUUAAA
rnacentral:rRNA from 1 species